rnacentral:tRNA from 1 species
GCCUGGCUGGCUCACCUGGUAGAGUGUGUAACUCCUGAUUUUAGGGUUGUGAGUUCAAGUCCCACAUCAGGUG